rnacentral:rRNA from 1 species
UACGUAGGGUGCGAGCGUUAAUCGGAAUUACUGGGCGUAAAGCGUGCGCAGGCGGUUUUUGUAAGCCAGAUGUGAAAUCCCCCGGGCUUAACCUGGGAACUGCAUUUGGGACUGCAAGGCUCGAGUACGGCAGAGGGAGGUGGAAUUCCACGUGUAGCAGUGAAAUGCGUAGAGAUGUGGAGGAACACCGAUGGCGAAGGCAGCCUCCUGGGCCAGUACUGACGCUCAUGCACGAAAGCGUGGGGAGCAAACAGG